GGACUCAAAAAAAAAGUAAAUUGUGCUUUGUAAGCUGUUAAUUUUAGCAAGGUACCUCUUAAAGUCAUUGCUAAAAGGUCCUAGCAAAGAUGCUUAGCUUUUAAACAUUUUACUCUUCAAGUUAUUCAUCGCAAAGCCAACGUUAACGGCAUCCUGAUUUGUCUACUAUGAAGUUAUAUGAUAGAAGUUUGCUUAUGGAGGAAGCGCGUGGUCCCAAUAGCAUUAUAUAUAUGAGUAUGCAAAACA
rnacentral:misc_RNA from 1 species